rnacentral:rRNA from 1 species
CAGGACGAACGCUGGCGGCGUGCCUAACACAUGCAAGUCGAACGGAGUUGGGGAGCUUGCUCUUCAACUUAGUGGCGGACGGGUGAGUAACGCGUGAGUAACCUGCCUCUGAGAGGGGAAUAACGUUUUGAAAAGAACGCUAAUACCGCAUAACGUAUUGAAUCCGCAUGGAUAUGAUACCAAAGAUUUUAUCGCUCGGAGAUGGACUCGCGUCCGAUUAGUUAGUUGGUGAGGUAACGGCUCACCAAGACCGCGAUCGGUAGCCGGACUGAGAGGUUGAUCGGCCACAUUGGGACUGAGACACGGCCCAGACUCCUACGGGAGGCAGCAGUGGGGGAUAUUGCGCAAUGGGGGCAACCCUGAACCGCAGCAACGCCGCGUGAAGGAUGAAGGUUUUCGGAUUGUAAACUUCUUUUAUCAGGGACGAACAACGACGGUACCUGAUGAAUAAGCUCCGGCUAACUACGUGCCAGCCGCUGC